CGUUGGCGUCGUGGUCGUCCGAAUACUUUUAGUUUUCGCACUCUAACUUUAGUAAAAGUGAAUAGAAAUCAAUGAAAUUUUAACACAAGGUUUAUGACCACAAAAGGAAGGUUGGGAUUGAUUUUGGGAGUUUUGGUCCCAACAUUUUAGGAAUUAGGGGCCAAAAAGGGCCCAAAUAAGCAUUUUCUUGGUUUUCGCACUAUAACUUUAGUUUAAGUGAAUAGAAAUCUAUGAAAUUUUGACACAAGGUUUAUGACCACAAAAGAAAGGUUGGGAUUGAUUUUGGGAGUUUUGGUUCCAACAGUUUAGGAAAUAAGGGCCAAAAAAGGCCCCAAAUAAGCAUUAUUCUUGGUUUUUGCACCAUAACUUUAGUAUAAGUAAAUAGAAAUCUAUGAAAUUUAAACACAAGGUUUAUGACCAUAAAAGGAAGGUUGGGUUUGAUUUUGGGAGUUUUGGUCCUAACAGUUUAGGAAUAUGGG
rnacentral:lncRNA from 1 species